CCUACGGGGGGCAGCAGUGGGGGAUAUUGCACAAUGGGCGAAACCCUGAUGCAGCAACGCCGCGUGGGUGAAGAAGCGCCUCGGCGUGUAAACCCCUUUCAGCAGGGAAGAAAAUGACGGUACCUGAUGAAGAAGCCUCGGCUAACUACGUUCCAGCAGCCGCGGUCAUACGUAGGAGCCAAGCGUUAUCCGGAGUUACUGGGUGUAUAGGGGGCGCAGACGGCGAUUCAAGCCAGCAGUGAAAGCCCGGGGCCCAACCCCGGGACUGCUCGUGGAACUGCGUGGCUGGAGUGCAGGAGGGGCAGGCGGAAUUCCUGGUGUAGCGGUGAAAUGCGUAGAUAUCAGGAGGAACACCGAUGGCGAAGGCAGCCUGCUGGACUGCAACUGACGUUGAGGCCCGAAAGCGUGGGGAGCAAACAGGAUUAGAUACCCCUGUAGUC
rnacentral:rRNA from 1 species